GACGUGUAAGAUAGUAGAGAAGGGUCUCUACAAUUUAAGUAGCAGAGGGAUAAGACAGCGCACCUUUCACUUGAGCUUCAACAUGGGAAAGGGAAACGAAGACCCCUAUCUCCACUGCUCCUCCAUCCAAUGUUCCACUGACCAGCCCCCUUUCCAACAGAUCUCCUUUACAGGAAAGGGCUCAGAUGAGAAGAAACCGUUCAAAGGAAAAGGCAAGACCGCCUCUUCCCAUUCCAGUGAGAAGCACAUACAAAGGCAAGGGAACUGUCCAGAAGAGGAACGCAGCUUGAUGUUAAAAAAAAAAAAAAAAUC
ensembl:lncRNA novel transcript